UUUUACACCAGCUGAGAGAUGACGAGGUGAUAGAAAAGACCUCACCCUACCUGACCUCCAGUUUCACCACUCUGAGUGCCUCAUUUAUUUUAUUCCACGGUGGACUGUGGAUGCACAAUCUGGUUGCAACGGGACAGCGCUGACGUACCAACACACUACAGGCUCCACACAAAUCAAACCAAGCCACACAAAUAAAGAAGCCUGACUGGAUCUCACAACCUCAAGGAUACAGACAGAAGACACAGAGGACAGAGGAGGUGCAGGAGGAGAUCCACACUUCUCUGCCUUCAGUGACUGAUAUAUAAGAGAAAAACCUUUAGAGCCCAGUUGAACAAAUGGAGCUUCAGGCACAGAGCUUCCUCUUUAUCUCCUGUGUGGCUCCCUCUAGUGAAAACACGCUGAGGCAACAGGAGACAAACCAUCAUCAUCAUCUGAGCAUGGACAUUCAUACUGCACUUAUAGAACCAGUAUGUGUGACAAAAUAAUCAAACGACAAACCAAAACUGAACACAGCAUCAACUGUGAGAGGUCAGAGGUCACGCUGGGAGUCAGGGGUGGCUGGAGAACGAUCGUUGUCCUGAACAGACAGAAGACACCGUCUCCCCCCGCCAGAAACUUCUUAUCAUGUAAACAAGUUCCAUACUUCAGUGACAUGACGACCCCUGAGGCUGAAAAAAAAACAUGAUGCAGCUCAUAUCUCAGAAAAACUAAUAAGUGGACCUUUGAGUUUAGAUUUCCAGAAACACAUGAAAGUGGUAUAAGAAAGACAUGAAAACAUAUGAACCAAUCCUUUAAGGCCAUUGUGAAGACAUGGCUGAAGAUGAGUGUCGGUCCGAUGCUGUCAGACGGUGACUACGGAGGAUAUUUUAACUCCUCAUGUAGUUUGCUUGGGCAUGUUAAGUGAUGGUUGUGCUACUAUAUGAUGCCAGCAGAGUCGACUUUAGUCUUCAGUGGUCAAACCAACCAACAUUUAAAGAAGAAGCGCACCGGAGGUCAAAUGUGAACAGAAGGGAAAUAAACAAAAGCUGACUUCCAGAUCACAACAUGGGUUGUGAUUAUUUCAUUAGAAAAAGCCCAGUGUGACUACCACCUCCAGGCCGCCAUUUUAACCCACCUCCUCCUCGCAGGAUUAGACCAUCCGUCUUCAUCCAGCUGCAGCUGCUGCCCCAGACAGACCGACUAAGUCAGAGAGCUGUGUGGGGAGGCAGAGAGCAGGUCGUCCUUGUUUUGUCCUCUGCUACAGGACGGGGCGUCUAAUCAGCUCUGCAGGGAAGAUGCUGGGAUAACUGGCAGGAAACCAGAUGAAAUGACCAGUUAAGGAGCGAGUCCUCCACUCCAGCUGCCAAGGACAAGAUUACCCAGCAGGCAGCAGCACUGCUGCUUUUGUUUAGAGUUUUCGGCACAGGGGGACCUGUCUUUUCAGGCUGUGGCUCCUAGACUGUGCGUUGCGUUUCCCCUGUCACUGCGUAUGGCCGAAUCUGUUGGUGGUUUUAAGAAGCAGCUGAAGACACAUUUGUUUAGUCAGGCUUGUAGUUGAUCUG